CAGCCGCCGCGGUAAUACGAAGGGUGCAAGCGUUACUCGGAAUUACUGGGCGUAAAGCGUGCGUAGGUGGUGGUUUAAGUCCGUUGUGAAAGCCCUGGGCUCAACCUGGGAAUUGCAGUGGAUACUGGGUCACUAGAGUGUGGUAGAGGAUAGUGGAAUUUCCGGUGUGGCAGUGAAAUGCGUAGAGAUCGGAAGGAACAUCUGUGGCGAAGGCGACUAUCUGGGCCAACACUGACACUGAGGCACGAAAGCGUGGGGAGCAAACAGGAUUAGAUACCCGUGUAGUCCCUGUCUCUUAUAC
rnacentral:rRNA from 1 species